rnacentral:lncRNA from 1 species
UUUGCCGUGUGCCUGAUCAAGAGCGCAUUAUCUCUCCCCCUGGUUUGUCAAAUUUGUCGGUUGGCUGAAAGGGAGAGUGGAGCAGCUCAUGAGAAACUAUCCCAUGUAUAAAUUUCAUGAAUGAAAAUCAUAUGAUACGGUUUCACCCACCAAAGUUUGUUCGUCCUAUGAAUAGUUUUCCUUCCUUUAAUCAUUUUGUUUCUAACCAAACACAUACAGCAUUGAGAGCGGGUUGCGUCCCACCGAACAAUGGUUGGAGUUUCUUUGAGUGAGUCAGUCUCAAAUGUUUCUAGCAUACAGAUGUCUAGGAUUUGAUUAGUAAAAAAAAUUCAAUGUUGUGGAUGGUCAUGUCCCAAGUUCAGAGCUAAUCAGAGUGCAGUUGAAAGUGAUACAAAAAUACCUGAAUGAGGCCAAUACAAUAAUACAAACUUGCGGAAGGAUGGACAAUGAAUACAAUCUACUCCAAAUCAACAACCACCCUGCAGAAAUCAAUGAUGUAUUGGUCAGUAAUAAAAGGACAGAAUGAAUGGGAAUAGUAAGCGUUAUGACAGAUUCAUCCCUACUAGCACAGACUUGAUGCAGCAAGGUUGGUGGCUGUUGGCAUCAAAGAUAAAAAGAUUCAGUGAC